rnacentral:rRNA from 1 species
UACAGAGGGUGCAAGCGUUGUUCGGAAUUACUGGGCGUGAAGCGCGUGUAGGCUGCGAUGUAAGUCGGACGUGAAAGCCCUUGGCUUAACCAAGGAAGUGCAUCCGAUACUGUGUCGCUUGAGUACCGGAGGGGAUGGCGGAAUUCCCGGUGUAGCGGUGGAAUGCGUAGAGAUCGGGAAGAACAUCAGUGGCGAAGGCGGCCUGCUGGGCUGUUGCUGACGCUGAGGCGCGACAGCGUGGGGAGCAAACAGG